rnacentral:tRNA from 3 species
UGGGUAAUAGCGAAAUGGUAACGCAACGGACUCUGAAUCCGUAAUUUCUAGGUUCGAUCCCUAGUUACCCAAUCA